GACGAACGCUGGCGGCGCGCCUAACACAUGCAAGUCGAACGAGCGAGAGAGAGCUUGCGUUCUCGAGCGAGUGACGAACGGGUGAGUAACGCGUGAGGAACCUGCCACAAAGAGGGGGACAACAGUUGGAAACGACAGCUAAUACCGCAUAAGCCCACGGCUCGGCAUCGAGCAGGGGGAAAAGGGGCAAUCCGCUUUGGGAUGGCCUCGCGUCCGAUUAGCUAGUUGGGGGGGUAACGGCCCACCAAGGCGACGAUCGGUAGCUGGACUGAGAGGUUGAACGGCCACAUUGGGACUGAGACACGGCCCAGACUCCUACGGGAGGCAGCAGUGGGGAAUAUUGCACAAUGGGCGAAACCCUGAUGCAGCGACGCCGCGUGGAUGAAGAAGGUCUUAGGAUUGUAAACCCCUGUUGCUGGGGAAGAUAAUGACGGUACCCAACAAGGAAGUUACGGCUAACUCCGUG
rnacentral:rRNA from 1 species